UACGAAGGGGGCUAGCGUUGUUCGGAUUUACUGGGCGUAAAGCGCACGUAGGCGGAUCGUUAAGUCGGGGGUGAAAUCCUGGAGCUCAACUCCAGAACUGCCUUCGAUACUGGCGAUCUCGAGUCCGGAAGAGGUGAGUGGAACUCCUAGUGUAGAGGUGGAAUUCGUAGAUAUUAGGAAGAACACCGGUGGCGAAGGCGACUCACUGGUCCGGUACUGACGCUGAGGUGCGAAAGCGUGGGGAGCAAACAGG
rnacentral:rRNA from 1 species